AAAGCACCCAUGCUGUGGGCAGAACUGCAGGGCCUUGAUUAAAUCGGGCAAAAAAGAUGCUUGAGAGAUAGCAAAUGUAAGCAAAAGUGGUUGCCAGGCCAGAGUUGCCUGUGAAUAAUUACCUCGAGGGAAGAGACCGUGGAGGUUGGUACCAGCCUUGUCCUGCUGUGCCAGGAGGGCUAUGGCGCCUGUUCCUUCUGCACUGCUCUGGAGAAAAUGCCCUUCAAUCCAUGUGCCAGAUCCCUUUGAGAGGGAGAUGCGCUCGCCAUGUGCUGGAGGAGCUGGAUGAAGAGGAAAAGACCUGGAAAAAAGCCAGAAGACAAAGAACUUUGGGGAAUUGUGUGCAGGGGUUUUGUGGCUGCUUGUGGAGGAGUCGAGCACCUGUAAUGUGUUUGGGUAGACCUCAAGGAGCACACCAUCAGUGGAUUCCCUUUUCCUUGCUAAGUUCCUCUGAACAGGAACCCUUAUUCUUAAGGGUAAGAUUAUGUAUUCUGGAUUAGUUUUGCAAAGCACUGAAGUUUCAAGCUUGAUUUAUGGGUAUAAAUGGUCCUUUUGAACAUGUUCCUUUGUGCUUUGACCCGAUGUGAACUCUUUACUGGGUCUUCAUGGAUCAAACCAUGAGUGACUUUUGCUGUCACUGGAAAGGUGGGCUGUUGUUUUGGCUAAAGAAUACCAGAGUUUGAACAGUGCAGAACCCUUAUGAUUUGACACAGAUGCAUGCUCAUCCUAACAAAUACACUCCCUUUACCAUUAAGUAAGCUCCCACUGUCAAGCCUUGGCGAUCUUAAGCUGUGAGCUGUACCUUCCCCUGAAUUAAAUCCCACCCCUAUAUUCUGACUGUAACAAAGUAGCUCUGCCCAGAUUCCUUAUUUUGUCCCUUUGCUUUUGCUUUGUCAUUUGGAGCCCUUGUGUUGCAUGCAAGUCCCCUUGUGCAGCUGAAAGGCAGCUACACCUUGAUGAAGUGGAAGGUGAGAUUGGCGAGUCAUUGCAUGAAGAGAAGGAAAUAACCUGAAAACCACAAAACAUCAGAAGAACUGGAUCAGGAGCUGUCUUUCAAGGGUUUGAUUAAACCG